GUAAUAGCUCACUGGUCGAGUGAUCCUGCGCCGAAGAUUUCCGGGGCUAAAACUUACUACCGAAGCUACGGCAUCAGUAUGAUGGGUAGGGGAGCUUCCCAUACGGGUUGAAGCAUGACCGUAAGGAAAUGUGGACAGUAUGGGAGUGGGAAUGUUGGCAUGAGUAGCGAGAUGUGGGUGAGAAUCCCACAGGCCGUAAACCCAAGGUUUCCAGGGGAAGGUUCGUCCGCCCUGGGUUAGUCGGGACCUAAGCUG
rnacentral:rRNA from 1 species